UUCAAAUCCAUCUCUCCAACUUAGCGUGAGGUGUCAGACCAUGUCAAAGGCCUUGCACAAGGGAGCAGCCAUGUGUUCUCCUUCCCAGCACGGAGGGAUGGAGAGAAGCCCAAGGAAUGGUUAUCGACCCACUGAACUGCAAAUGUGUGGUUGAGGAGAUUGAGAACAGCCAAGCCCAGGAAAAUUCCCCUUGGUCAUGUUCCUUAAUUGUUCGUCCUUGGAGAGACAGCAACCUCUGCUCUAUACGCCUGUGCUGGAUUUUUUGUUUUCUUUUUAAAAGUAAGACAGAAAUCCUCGUAACACAUCAAUAAAGAGCCACGCUGUAGACAGCAUCUGAAAGCAAGAAAAUAAUAUUACUACAGAAAAGGAAAAAAAAAAAAAAAAAAGCAACACAACAGCACCAAAAGCUAAUAAAAGCAUUACUCGAGAAACAGAACUGUUUCGAAGCAGCCAAAGAAUAUCCACAAUGAUGAUUCAAUUACACAGAAGAUUAGUGUUGGUCUGUCUGCGGAGCCAAGAGUUUCUCACGGAGGUUUUGAGCCGACGAAUGGGUGAUGACUUCAUAAAACCUGAGCGUAAUGGGGUGGAGGGACAAGAAAAACAAACAACAAAAAAACAAGAAGAAAAAUGCCCCCAAAACAGCAGAAACCAGACCAAUAAAAUCUCAUUCCAAUCAUGGAACAAAUCGUGUAGAUUUUUUUUUUUUUUUUUCCCUGGGAGCAGAUUUCAGCUAGGGCAACAUUUCUUUAAGGUAUUGAUUAGCAAUUAGAGAGGUGUUUUAGCUGCUUCUCUGCUGUGUCCCUGUCAUUCCCUCCAGAAUUUCAAUUCCACGAGUACUAUUUCCAUCCUGCAGCGGAGCCAGGCGAGAAUCACUGCCCAACCCCACAGCUCCAGGCACUCCCUGCUGCUAAAGGAUUUGGGGUGGAGUGGGGUCCAGCUUCAGAAAAAAUAGAAAACCCUGAAAAGGAUGAAAAAUAAUCUUGAUUUGAGCCAGGAGGUGGUGGAUGGCUUGGAAUACAUUGGGCACGGGGCUGGGGUGUAGGAGUCUGCUUAACUCACAGAGUUUUAUCAGCCAGAGCUUUGGUUUGCCCCAUAGGCGCUAUAUCAGCAGCCAUCCCACUCAGCAUGAAGGGCAGCAACCAGGAGAGGAGGCUCUGUGGAACAGAUUACCCAGAGAAGCUAUGGGUGUCCCAUCCCUGGAGGUGCCCAAGGCCAAGCUGGGAGGGGGGGCACCCAUUUUACAGCAGAGGCAGGGCUUUAAGGUCCCUUCCAACCCAACCAUCCCAUGGUUCUAUGAUCUUUAAGGUCCCUUCCAACCCAACCACUCCAUGGAAAUAUGAUCUUUAAGGACCCUUCCAACCCAAACAUUCUAUGAUUCUAUGAUUCUACAAAGAUACCAAUGAAGACUUGCACUGAAAACCAUCAAACUCAAAACACAUUGCCUUCAAUAAUCAACAGAGGGAAGCCACCAUCACCUCCCACAAAGGAGUGGCCAGUCUUUUCCUCUAGUGGUAAUUUUCCUGCCUUUUUAUUUGGUUCCACUUAAAAUGGGGAUUCUUAAGAGCAAGAAAAAUAACAAACGGAUUUCUCUUCAGAUAAUUCAUAAGGGCUCCGAGUGCAUUGUAAAUGCAUGCCUUUAUCCAACAGGCAAUUUGAU
ensembl:lncRNA